rnacentral:rRNA from 1 species
UACGUAGGGAGCGAGCGUUAUCCGGAUUUAUUGGGUGUAAAGGGUGCGUAGACGGGUAAACAAGUUAGUUGUGAAAUACCUCGGCUUAACUGAGGAACUGCAACUAAAACUAUAUAUCUUGAGUACUGGAGGGGAAAGCGGAAUUCCUAGUGUAGCGGUGAAAUGCGUAGAUAUUAGGAAGAACACCGGUGGCGAAGGCGGCUUUCUGGACAGUAACUGACGUUGAGGCACGAAAGUGUGGGGAGCAAACAGG